CCUACGAGAGGCAGCAGUGAGGAAUAUUGGUCAAUGGACGCAAGUCUGAACCAGCCAUGCCGCGUGCAGGAAGACGGCUCUAUGAGUUGUAAACUGCUUUUGUACGAGGGUAAACUCAGAUACGCGUAUCUGUCUGAAAGUAUCGUACGAAUAAGGAUCGGCUAACUCCGUGCCAGCAGCCGCGGUAAUACGGAGGAUUCAAGCGUUAUCCGGAUUUAUUGGGUUUAAAGGGUUCGUAGGCGGUCGGAUAAGUUAGAGGUGAAAUCCAGAGGCUCAACUUCGGAAUUGCCUCUGAUACUGUUCGGCUAGAGAGUAGUUGCGGUAGGCGGAAUGUAUGGUGUAGCGGUGAAAUGCUUAGAGAUCAUACAGAACACCGAUUGCGAAGGCAGCUUACCAAGCUACUUCUGACGUUGAGGCACGAAAGCGUGGGGAGCAAACAGGAUUAGAUACCCGUGUAGUC
rnacentral:rRNA from 1 species